rnacentral:rRNA from 1 species
CCUACGGGUGGCUGCAGUGGGGAAUAUUGGACAAUGGGCGAAAGCCUGAUCCAGCCAUGCCGCGUGUGUGAAGAAGGCCUUCGGGUUGUAAAGCACUUUCAGUGGGGAAGAAAGCCUUGGGGCUAAUACCCUCGAGGAAGGACAUCACCCACAGAAGAAGCACCGGCUAACUCCGUGCCAGCAGCCGCGGUAAUACGGAGGGUGCGAGCGUUAAUCGGAAUUACUGGGCGUAAAGCGCGCGUAGGCGGUCUGAUAAGCCGGUUGUGAAAGCCCCGGGCUCAACCUGGGAACGGCAUCCGGAACUGUCAGGCUAGAGUGCAGGAGAGGAAGGUAGAAUUCCCGGUGUAGCGGUGAAAUGCGUAGAGAUCGGGAGGAAUACCAGUUGCGAAGGCGGCCUUCUGGACUGACACUGACGCUGAGGUGCGAAAGCGUGGGUAGCAAACAGGAUGAGAUACCCUAGUAGUC